ACUCCUACGGGAGGCAGCAGUGGGGAAUAUUGCACAAUGGGCGCAAGCCUGAUGCAGCCAUGCCGCGUGUAUGAAGAAGGCCUUCGGGUUGUAAAGUACUUUCAGCGGGGAGGAAGGCGAUAAGGUUAAUAACCUUGUCGAUUGACGUUACCCGCAGAAGAAGCACCGGCUAACUCCGUGCCAGCAGCCGCGGUAAUACGGAGGGUGCAAGCGUUAAUCGGAAUUACUGGGCGUAAAGCGCACGCAGGCGGUCUGUCAAGUCGGAUGUGAAAUCCCCGGGCUCAACCUGGGAACUGCAUUCGAAACUGGCAGGCUAGAGUCUUGUAGAGGGGGGUAGAAUUCCAGGUGUAGCGGUGAAAUGCGUAGAGUUCUGGAGGAAUACCGGUGGCGAAGGCGGCCCCCUGGACAAAGACUGACGCUCAGGUGCGAAAGCGUGGGGAGCAAACAGGAUUAGAUACCCCUGUAGUCCCAUG
rnacentral:rRNA from 1 species